rnacentral:lncRNA from 1 species
GAGAUUUUGUUCCCCCACUUUAAAUAUCAAUUCUUUCGUCUUGAAGGGGCAAAACUUUUGAAAGAUAUUUAAUAUGAAGAUUUAUGACAACCUAGUAUCUUGAUCCCUCUACACAUGUGGGAGGGGCUUUCACUAUUCCUCUUCAUCCAUUUGUCCAAAAGGUGUUAAAAUUUUAAGGUGUUUCUCCUGGCCAACUAAUUGUGGCUUUUUGGUGUAUCAUGUUUAGAUUCAUCAAUUUUUGUAAGGAAAAGGGGAUAAAUCCCCUCCUAAAGGUCUUCUAAAAUUUCUUUACGUUGUCCGGAGGGACCAACAAGGGGGGAAAGUCUCAUCUGGUUUUUCAAAAAACAAAGAUUACCAUAUGUCAAUACUAUUUUGCAUGGGCAGGUGAGUAAUUUGGGUAUUAACUGCUCUAAAUACGUGGAUGUACAACUAAAACAAAGAUGGAGUUUGAUUUUUCCAUCCAUUAGAGCCUUCCUUCUUCAGAUUUGUCAUCCUAUGUUAGAGGGUGACAUUGAGGCCGAUUUUGAAUAAGACAAAUCGAUUAGUUGUUCCUAAAACCAUUACACUUUGAAAGGUCUUCAAGUAUCUUCUCAAGGAUGAGGAAGUGUAAGGCUAUCGAGAUGCUGAUUUAGCGAGUGGUUUCAAGCCUAAGAAAUGAGACAAGUCUUAGAAUGAGAGCGUCUUCUAUGACGAGGAAAAUGAGAUUGUUGAAAUCCUCUGUGGGGACAUCCCAACGCCUUAGAAAUUCUUUAAAAUUAGGAAAAUAUGCCUUAGAUGUGGUUAGGGGUUUCGAAUGGUAGGUUGAUUGAAUAUUUACCACUACUUCCUUCGGAUGGUGGUUACUUUGGCGAUAUUUGUGACUAGAAUGAGAAAGAAAUUACCGAUAAGAAACUUUUGUUUCCUUCCUGUUAGUAUAUUUUUAUUUUUUGUGUUUUAUUUAUGCUAGUACUAAUAUUGUUCUCACUUUAUUUUUUUCAGAUUCAAACGAAUACAGUAUCAUAGACACCAAAGGCCCUGUUACUGAUGCUAUUGAUCCCACUACUUUUGGGAUGAGGGGUGUUAUUCCUUCGAAACCCCUUUGAGCUAUUCAGGCUCUACUUGCCCUAAAAAAGAAAUCCCCUCUGCAUCCCCCAACCAAAAGAGGGAGGGAUGGAACAGUAAAAGGGCUUUCUUUCGUAGGAGGAGAUGCUAUAAGAAAGUUCCUUUCCGGUGGUGACUUAAAUUCAACAAAAUCCCCUUUUGGUACUGAAGGGUCUACUACUCUCGUUUCUCUUUCCAUUGCUAUUGUUGUACCAACGCCAUUUGACGAUCUACAAUUAAUUUUCAAAGGUCCACCCGAUAAGCAAUUUCUUAUUAUUAUCAUCUUAUUGAAGCUCUUUGGAUGGUCCUAAUAUGAUAUUUGUGCACAAGCUUUAAAGAUAUCUUCAAAUGGCUAAGGGUUGCUAUUGAGAUGUCGAUGUAGGCUAUCACACAGGUCAUCUAAUAUUGCCAAUGCUACUAAAGACAAGGCCUUGGCUGUAGCAGAGAAGUGGAAGGCUUCUAAGAAAAAGGCUCGUGAAGAUGCCAAGUUUUGGUAGGGUAAAGCUAAAAAGUACAAGACUAAACGAGACGCAACUCAAGUAGCAUUGAAACUAGAGUAACGGGUUCAUACCCUUACCAAGUCCCAACUUGAGGAGAAGGUUGUUGAGGCCUCUAAUUUGGGCAUGAGGAAAGCCAUCUUGGGGAUACAGUUACACAAUGGGCCUAUCUACAUGUAUGAUUUAGAUCUAAAUCCCUUCAAAGUAUUACGAGCUAUGAGGAGAAGAAUAUUGGGUUUAAUAUUUUCAACCCUAAUGGUCCUAUUGGGAUGAGUUGUCAUAGCCAACACCCAGCCUGGUAAGAUAUUAUCCAUUUUAGACGCACAUGACCCCCCAUGGCUUUAUUCUUAAGAGCCCUCAUAGACCCCCAAAAGGCCUCUUACCACUUAAAUGUUGUCACCCUUUUAUAUAGCUCAAGCCUUUCCCAUGUUUUACCGAUGUAGGAUUUUCCUAAGGUGUUACAUUCACCCCCUUAGGGACUCAACGUCUUCGCUGAGGUUUUCUCCACCAUUGCUCAAGAGGCACAACGAGUAGCUCUGAUACCAAUAAAUGUCAUAGCCAACACCCAACCCGGUAAGAUAUUGUCCACUUUGGACGCACAUGGCCCUCAUGGUUUUGUUCUUGGGAGCGCCCAUACACCCCAAAAAGCCUCUUACCACUUAGGUGUUGCUACCCUUUUAUACAACCCAGGUCUCUCCUAUGCUUUGUCGAUAUGAGAUUUACCUAGGGUGUUACAUGAGUAUUCAGAGAAAAUGAGGCCUCUUUGUGUACCUAAUAUUCUUAAAGAGGAAACUUCAGUGGCCCAAAAUGGUGUAUCGAGUGGGAAACCUAAGGCUCCGGUUAGUGGUAAGGAUCCUCCUAGUAAUGAGCUUGUUGAAAG